AGUGGCGGCUAUACUGGUAUUGUUCCACCUGUUCCCAUUUCGAACACAGAAGUGAAAUAUGCCAAGGCCGAUGAUAGUGGGUUGCCCGCGAAAGUAGGUAGCCGCCGCUA
rnacentral:rRNA from 1 species